CAACUCGCUUCAAGAAAAUGAGCAACUGAGCAAGCUAGACAAUCUGAAGGCUUUAGAUCAACUGAAGAAGUAAAAUGGAUUCGCUGACAGUAAACUGAAGACAUGGAUGCAAUCCUGUGCUGAUGAGGUUGCCAUCUACCUACAUUCACUGACCCAGGACAACG